CAGAUUGCCAGGUGGUGGGACAGACCAGUCAGCGUCUUCAUCAAAGGCGUCUUCAUCAAAUGCGUCUCAUGCAAUGAAACCAAUGCUGUGGCUGAACUGAGGUAUUGUGUAAUACUCUCCGUGUCAGAUGACACUGGCACAACGGCUUUCCAUGGCAUUGAUACAGAGGUGGCUAAACUGACUCAUGUUCUUGCUUCUGAAGCUGCACAGAUCGUGGGGAUAGGUGCUAAUGCUCAGGUUGACAUCGAGCUCUCUCGCUCACUCGCUGAUCUCGUGGGGAGUACCUACACUUUUCAGUUCAAGUUAAAGGACUUCAAUUUUACUCCAAACCACCAAACCUUUACGAUUUCUCGCAUUUUCCCUGCACGUGUGCUUGCGCAAGUUCCAACUUUUGCUGAAGGUGGAGAGGUCACUGAGCCAGCACUCCCUCAAUCUGUGGCACCAGGAUCAGAUGACAGAGCUGCUAACACGUACAAUGUUGCAGAUCAACUCAACGCAGCUGAUGGUGCACAGCUUGGACAUGAAGCAGUAGCAUCGGGUGAAGUCGAUGUGGAAGAAACUGCCCGUAAGAAAGCACGUGUGGAAUGAGUGCUAGCUUGGAACCCAAACAACGACGAUUAGUCUUAGUCAUUUUCUGUUUUCCCACGACUUUCAGUUUCGCUUAUGUCGCUUUCCUUUUUUUUAAAUUUAGAAAAAAACAAUGGGUCGUGGUUGUUGUUUCUUCUGUUUUUCUGCGUCUUUUAGUUUCGGUUAUGUCGCUUUUUUUUUCUUUGAUUAAAAAAACUAUGGGUCGUGGUUGUUAUUUCUAAUUUUUCUGCGUCUUUCAUUUUCGGUUAUGUCGUUUUUCUUCUUUUUUUAAUUUUAAAAAAACCUAUGUCGUGGUUGAUGUAA